rnacentral:rRNA from 1 species
GUCGAGGGGUAUAGGUUUUCGGACCUAGAGACCGGCGCACGGGUGCGUAACGCGUAUGCAAUCUACCUUUUACAGAGGGAUAGCCCAGAGAAAUUUGGAUUAAUACCUCAUAGUAUUAUUGAAUGGCAUCAUUUAAUAAUUAAAGUCACAACGGUAAAAGAUGAGCAUGCGUCCCAUUAGCUUGUUGGUAAGGUAACGGCUUACCAAGGCAACGAUGGGUAGGGGUCCUGAGAGGGAGAUCCCCCACACUGGUACUGAGACACGGACCAGACUCCUACGGGAGGCGGCAGUGAGGAAUAUUGGUCAAUGGGCGCAAGCCUGAACCAGCCAUGCCGCGUGCAGGAUGACGGUCCUAUGGAUUGUAAACUGCUUUUGUACAGGAAGAAACAGCUCUACGUGUAGAACCUUGACGGUACUGUAAGAAUAAGGAUCGGCUAACUCCGUGCCAGCAGCCGCGGUAAUACGGAGGAUCCAAGCGUUAUCCGGAAUCAUUGGGUUUAAAGGGUCCGUAGGCGGUUUUGUAAGUCAGUGGUGAAAGCCCAUCGCUCAACGGUGGAACGGCCAUUGAUACUGCAAGACUUGAAUUAUUGGGAAGUAACUAGAAUAUGUAGUGUAGCGGUGAAAUGCUUAGAGAUUACAUGGAAUACCAAUUGCGAAGGCAGGUUACUACCAAUAUAUUGACGCUGAUGGACGAAAGCGUGGGGAGCGAACAGGAUUAGAUACCCUGGUAGUCCACGCCGUAAACGAUGGAUACUAGCUGUUC